GCUCCGGUGGGCUAGUGAUUAGAGCGUCCGCCUCGGAUGCGGGAGGUCGUGGAUUCGAUCCCUGGCGGAGUU